AAUAAAAUGUGUGUUGCAACAUGAGCCACUUAAGCAAUAACUCAUAAAACUGCUGGUUGUAUUCUAGCAUGGAAGGAAAAAGGGCUCAUUAGUCUUUUCCCAACUUAAGGAUCCAUGGACAGAUUCCAAAACAUUAAUCCUUGGGAAGGGCCAGCAAAUGUUAGAUUGACUCCCAAGUUACAGUGAGAAGUUGAAGCACACUGUGAGUUUUAAGGUUUACAAACAGACUGUAAUGAACAGUCACGGCCACGCUUAUUGAAGCAUUAAUUGAAAAGCUUUUCUUCAGACUAUAUCAAGGGCCCUGUACUCCUAACAUCUGCAUAUUUUUAGCCCUAUGAGAUAUCCUCAGAGUGCUCUCACCAGAAGAUAGCAAUUACUGCUCCCAAUAGAGCCUUCAUCCAGUAGCUGAGGGAAGCAGAAGCAGACACCCACAGCUAAACACUGAGCUGAACUCUGGAAUCCAGUUGCAGAGGAGGAAUGAUGAGCAAAGGUCAAGACCAGGCUGAAGAAACCCACAGAAACAACUGACCUGAACAAGGGGUUGCUCAUGGACCCCCAGACUGAUAGCCGAGAAUCUAACAUAGGACUAUUCCAGACCCCCUGAAGGAGGAAGUCAGUUUGGAGGUCUGGACAAUCUAUGGGGCCUCUGGUAUUAGAUCAGUAUUUACCCUUAGUACACAAAUGAACUUUGGGAGCCCUCUCCACAUAAAGGGAUAUUCUCUCAGCCUAGACACACUGGAGAGGGACUAGACCCUGCUCAAAAUGUUAUGACAGACUUUGAAGAUCCCCAUGGAAAGCCUCACCCUUCCUGGGGAGCAGAAAGUACUAGGGAU
rnacentral:lncRNA from 1 species